CAAGUCGAACGCGAAAGAGAUCUUCGGAUCUUGAGUAGAGUGGCGGACGGGUGAGUAACGCGUAGGAAUCUGCCUAGUAGUGGGGGAUAGCCCGGAGAAAUCCGGAUUAAUACCGCAUACGCCCUACGGGGGAAAGAUGGCCUCUUCUUGAAAGCUAUCACUAUUAGAUGAGCCUGCGUCGGAUUAGCUAGUUGGUGAGGUAAUGGCUCACCAAGGCGACGAUCCGUAGCUGGUCUGAGAGGACGAUCAGCCACACUGGGACUGAGACACGGCCCAGACUCCUACGGGAGGCAGCAGUGGGGAAUAUUGGACAAUGAGCGAAAGCUUGAUCCAGCAAUACCGCGUGUGUGAAGAAGGCCUGCGGGUUGUAAAGCACUUUCAGUGGGGAAGAAAAGCUUAAGGUUAAUACCCUUGGGUCUUGACGUUACCCACAGAAGAAGCGCCGGCUAACUCCGUGCCAGCAGCCGCGGUAAUACGGAGGGUGCAAGCGUUAAUCGGAAUUACUGGGCGUAAAGCGCGCGUAGGCGGUUUAGUCAGUCAGAUGUGAAAGCCCCGGGCUCAACCUGGGAACUGCAUUUGAUACUGCUGAACUAGAGUAUGGUAGAGGGAAAUGGAAUUCCGGGUGUAGCGGUGAAAUGCGUAGAUAUCCGGAGGAACACCAGUGGCGAAGGCGACUUCCUGGACCAAUACUGACGCUGAGGUGCGAAAGCGUGGGUAGCAAACAGGAUUAGAUACCCUGGUAGUCCACGCCGUAAACGAUGUCAACUAGCCGUUGGGCUCAUUUAAGGGCUUAGUGGCGCAGCUAACGCGAUAAGUUGACCGCCUGGGGAGUACGGUCGCAAGAUUAAAACUCAAAGGAAUUGAGCGGGGCCCGCACAAGCGGUGGAGCAUGUGGUUUAAUUCGAUGCAACGCGAAGAACCUUACCAGCCCUUGACAUCCUGGGAAGGCUUUAGAGAUAAAGCUGUGCCUUCGGGAACCCAGUGACAGGU
rnacentral:rRNA from 1 species